ACUUGAGAGCACUAGGCUGAGUGGAGUUGGCAUAUUGGGGCUGCCCUGGUUUGAGACCAAUUGGAAUGAAGUAAUUAAUCAAGCAGGAAUUAGAAAAGAAAGUGAUGAAAUUCCUGAUAUAAAGGAAAUUCCUGCAAAGUGAGAAGUGCUGAAAUUACAGCUUUGGUGGAGCUUCUGUUGGUGUUCCGAGCUGAAAAGAAGCUUUAGAAAGCUGAGAGCAACUUAGAAAAGCUUCUAAUUCAGGUCGACGACGCGCUAAUUACGGUAGAGGCCGUUCUAGUUCUAUUUAUACUGAGUCGCGAGAGUUAGUUGUCGACACAUUCCGAGACGUGAGAUCUUAGUUGUUGACACCACUACAGGUUCCAGUACGAGUGCUGUUGCCGAGGAUCGUGGCAAGGGCCCUGCAGCUUAGUUAGCCGACACCAGAGUUUAGUGGUUACCAUUUUGAGAUCAUGUAUCAUCCAUUUUGAUGUAUAUACAACAUGUAGAUAACUAAAUGUUUCAGUUAUGUAAAGUUUUGAAUUACAGUGAAUUUCAUUGUUCAGUUACUUUA